rnacentral:lncRNA from 1 species
CGUGGAGCCGCAUCUUCAUCUUCAUCAUAGGCUUCCUGCUGCCGCUGCAGGCGCUGUCGCCUCAUCUCCUCUUCGAUGUUAACAUCAUACAUGGUAGUCUCCUCACACUCGUCUAAUUCCAUGUUUGAGAUGUGGUUGCUUGGCCUUGGUGGCAGAAUUUUCUCCAGAGAACGACAUUGAUCAGGAGAAAACACUCCUGUCUCAGGAAAUUCAACAUUGAACUGGAUAUAAAGGCGACCCUUCAUGAAUGGCCUCCCAUGAUGAGGCAUUCCUUCAUCAUCAAUUGCUU